CGUUAAUAUAUGACCCGAUUAGCAGCUUCCGGGAAACCAAAGUUUUUCGUUUCCGGGGGAAGUAUGGUUGCAAAGCUGAAACUUAAAGGAAUUGACGGAAGGGCACCACCAGGAGUGGAGCCUGCGGCUUAAUUUGACUCAACACGGGAAAACUCACCCGGCCCGGACACCGUAAGGAUUGACAGACUGAGAGCUCUUUCUUAAUUCGGUGGGUGGUGGUGCAUGGCCGUUCUUAGUUGGUGGAGCGAUUUGUCUGGUUAAUUCCGAUAACGAACGAGACUCUGGCCUAUUAAAUAGACGAUAUAUUUAAAAGUAUAUCGCGCUUCUUAGAGGGACAAGCGGCGUCUAGCCGCAUGAAAUAGAGCAAUAACAGGUCUGUGAUGCCCUUAGAUGUCCGGGGCUGCACGCGCGCUACACUGAAAGAAUCAGUGUGCGUUACGCCUAGUUCGGAAGAACCGGGUAACCCAAGUAAAUUCUUUCGUGCUUGGGAUAGGGAAUUGCAAUUAUUUCCCUUAAACGAGGAAUUCCCAGUAAAUGCGGGUCAUAAGCCUCGCGUUGAUUACGUC
rnacentral:rRNA from 1 species